rnacentral:rRNA from 1 species
UUGGUGGGGUAAAGGCCUACCAAGACUAUGAUGUGUAGCCGGGCUGAGAGGUUGAACGGCCACAUUGGGACUGAGACACGGCCCAAACUCCUACGGGAGGCAGCAGUAGGGAAUUUUCGGCAAUGGAGGAAACUCUGACCGAGCAACGCCGCGUGAACGAUGAAGUAUUUCGGUACGUAAAGUUCUUUUAUUAGGGAAGAAUAAAUGAUGGAAAAAUCAUUCUGACGGUACCUAAUGAAUAAGCCCCGGCUAACUAUGUGCCAGCAGCCGCGGUAAUACAUAGGGGGCAAGCGUUAUCCGGAAUUAUUGGGCGUAAAGGGUGCGUAGGCGGUUAAAUAAGUUUAUGGUCUAAGUGCAAUGCUCAACAUUGUGAUGCUAUAAAAACUGUUUAGCUAGAGUAAGAUAGAGGCAAGUGGAAUUCCAUGUGUAGUGGUAAAAUGCGUAAAUAUAUGGAGGAACACCAGUAGCGAAGGCGGCUUGCUGGGUCUUUACUGACGCUGAGGCACGAAAGCGUGGGGAGCAAACAGGAUUAGAUACCCUGGUAGUCCACGCCGUAAACGAUGAGUACUAAACGUUGGGUAAAACCAGUGUUGAAGUUAACACAUUAAGUACUCCGCCUGAGUAGUACGUACGCAAGUAUGAAACUUAAAGGAAUUGACGGGACUCCGCACAAGCGGUGGAUCAUGUUGUUUAAUUCGAAGGUACCCGAAAAACCUCACCAGGUCUUGACAUGCUUCUGCAAAGCUGUA